rnacentral:rRNA from 1 species
CUAAUACCGCAUAAGCACACAGUAUCGCAUGAUACCGUGUAGAAAACUCCGGUGGUAUAGGAUGGACCCGCGUCUGAUUAGCUAGUUGGUGAGGUAACGGCCCACCAAGGCGACGAUCAGUAGCCGGCCUGAGAGGGUGAACGGCCACAUUGGGACUGAGACACGGCCCAAACUCCUACGGGGAGGCAGCAGGUGGGGAAUAUUGCACAAUGGGGGAAACCCUGAUGCAGCGACGCCGCGUGAGUGAAGAAGUAUUUCGGUAUGUAAAGCUCUAUCAGCAGGGAAGAAAAUGACGGUACCUGACUAAGAAGCCCCGGCUAACUACGUG